UAUCUACUGACACAUCGAGCAGAGAUCUCUCCUGUCGUGUUUACAACUCCUCUUCCUCCUCCUCGCUUUUUUGGCGCCAGAGCCUGUUGACCAAUCAGAGCGCCGCUGUGAGAUCCAGACCAGAGCAAUGGAUUCAAUGCUACCAUCACUUUACAAAUCUAGACAAAAGGAAGAACAGAUUGCACAUCAAAGUCAUCAGACAUGUUCGUCGGCGCCCCCAGAAAGCAGGCAGCCAUUCACAUCUUUGGAAAGUCAAAUAAGUCACGACCUAAAUGGAGUCAAAUUAAAUAAAGCCAUAUUAAACGAAGGUACUGUAUUGUUGUAGCUGUGUAUCUGAGCGGAGUGGGCAGGCAGCCGGUACAGCGGGCCUACUGUCGACUGUAGCAGCAGUCUGAGAGACUCAUUAGAUAUUUUCACUCUGCAAACUAAA